AGUGAACGCUGCGGUAGGCCUAACACAUGCAAGUCGAACGGCAGCACAGUAAGAGCUUGCUCUUACGGGUGGCGAGUGGCGGACGGGUGAGGAAUACAUCGGAAUCUACUUUUUCGUGGGGGAUAACGUAGGGAAACUUACGCUAAUACCGCAUACGACCUACGGGUGAAAGCAGGGGAUCUUCGGACCUUGCGCGAUUGAAUGAGCCGAUGUCGGAUUAGCUAGUUGGCGGGGUAAAGGCCCACCAAGGCGACGAUCCGUAGCUGGUCUGAGAGGAUGAUCAGCCACACUGGAACUGAGACACGGUCCAGACUCCUACGGGAGGUAGCAGUGGGGAAUAUUGGACAAUGGGCGCAAGCCUGAUCCAGCCAUACCGCGUGGGUGAAGAAGGCCUUCGGGUUGUAAAGCCCUUUUGUUGGGAAAGAAAAGCAGCAGGUUAAUACCCCGCUGUUCUGACGGUACCCAAAGAAUAAGCACCGGCUAACUUCGUG
rnacentral:rRNA from 1 species